GGGGAUUUAGCUCAGUGGUUGUGCUUCCUGCCUUGCAAGCAGAAGGACCCGAGUUCAAUCCCCA
rnacentral:tRNA from 1 species